rnacentral:rRNA from 1 species
GGACUACUGGGGUAUCUAAUCCUGUUUGCUCCCCUAGCUUUCGUCAUUCAGCGUCAGUUAUGGUCCAGCGCGCCGCUUUCGCCACGGGUGUUCCUGCAGAUAUCUACGCAUUUCACCGCUACACCUGCAAUUCCACGCGCCUCUCCCAUACUCAAGCACAGCAGUUUCGGAAGCAGUCUCUGAGUUAAGCCCAGAGAUUUCACUCCCGACUUGCCACACCGCCUACUGACCCUUUACACCCAGUAAUUCCGAGCAACGCUGGCCCCCCACGUCUUACCGCGGCUGCUGGCAC